GACUCUCGGCAACGGAUAUCUCGGCUCUCGCAUCGAUGAAGAACGUAGCGAAAUGCGAUACUUGGUGUGAAUUGCAGAAUCCCGUGAACCAUCGAGUCUUUGAACGCAAGUUGCGCCCGAAGCCUUCGGGCCGAGGGCACGUCUGCCUGGGUGUCACG
rnacentral:rRNA from 1 species